GACAGAAUCUCCGAGCGUUACCCGGAUUUAUUGGGCGUAAAGGGUCUGUAGGUGGUUGUGUAAGUUCUGAAUUAAACCUCAUCGGCUUAACCUUUGAGCUGUUCAGAAUACUGCAUAACUAAGAGGGCGUUAGGGGUGAACGGAACCGACGGAGUAGGGGUGAAAUCCGUUGAUAUCGUCGGGAACACCAAAAGCGAAGGCAGUUCACUGGGACGACCCUGACACUGAGAGACGAAAGCGUGGGG
rnacentral:rRNA from 1 species